rnacentral:rRNA from 2 species
CUGGAGGUAUCAGAAGUGCGAAUGCUGACAUAAGUAACGAUAAAGCGGGUGAAAAGCCCGCUCGCCGGAAGACCAAGGGUUCCUGUCCAACGUUAAUCGGGGCAGGGUGAGUCGACCCCUAAGGCGAGGCCGAAAGGCGUAGUCGAUGGGAAACGGGUUAAUAUUCCCGUACUUGGUGUUACUGCGAAGGGGGGACGGAGAAGGCUAUGUUGGCCGGGCGACGGUUGUCCCGGUUUAAGCGUGUAGGUGUGUGUUCCAGGUAAAUCCGGUUCACUUUAACACUG